rnacentral:tRNA from 1 species
CGGGGUGUGGCGCAGUCCGGUAGCGCGUUUGCUUUGGGAGCAAAAUGUCGGAGGUUCGAAUCCUCUCGCCCCGA